rnacentral:tRNA from 1 species
GGUGGGUUGGCUCAGUGGUUAGAGCGUAGGUCUCGUAACAGAAAGGUUGCGGGAUCGAAUCCCCCCAGACUG